rnacentral:rRNA from 1 species
UCAGGCCUAACACAUGCAAGUCGAACGAGAUUAUAGGGUAAGCUUGCUUACCUUAUAUGACAGUGGCGCACGGGUGCGUAACGCGUAUGCAAUCUACCUUAAUCAGGGGGAUAGCCUCUCGAAAGAGAGAUUAAUACCGCAUAACAUUAUGAUAUGGCAUCAUAUUAUAAUCAAACAUUUAUGGGAUUAAGAUGAGCAUGCGUGACAUUAGCUAGUUGGUGAGGUAACGGCUCACCAAGGCAACGAUGUCUAGGGGAUCUGAGAGGAUGACCCCCCACACUGGUACUGAGACACGGACCAGACUCCUACGGGAGGCAGCAGUAAGGAAUAUUGGUCAAUGGACGCAAGUCUGAACCAGCCAUGCCGCGUGCAGGAAGACGGCCCUAUGGGUUGUAAACUGCUUUAUACGGGAAUAAACCUUCUUUCGGAAAGAAGC